rnacentral:piRNA from 1 species
UAACCAUCUGUGCACACAUAUACAUA